UGAGCAACCUGCCCUUGAUUCUGGAAUAACAGUUGGAAACAGCUGCUAAUACCGGAUAUGACUUUGUGUGACAUCACACGGAGUGGAAAGCCCUGGCGGUCAAGGAUGGGCUCGCGGCCUAUCAGCUUGUUGGUGAGGUAACGGCUCACCAAGGCUUCGACGGGUAGCCGGCCUGAGAGGGCGACCGGCCACACUGGGACUGAGAUACCGGCCCAGACUCCGUAGGGACGG
rnacentral:rRNA from 1 species